UUUUUUUACACUACUAUGGUACAGAAGCGCUUCCACAGCCCCCAGCGUGUCUCAAUCUACUGCGGAGGCUAGCAGGAACCACUGAUGCCCGCACCCACCCUCCCUACUUUACUGAUGCAGCGGCCAGGAGAUACCUGGCAAUACGCAGGAAAGCCCUGGCAACGCACAGGAGACCCCCUAGCAACACAUAUGAAACCCCUGGCAAUGCACAGGAGACCCCUAGCAACGCACAUGAAACCCCUGGCAACGCACAGGAGACCCCUAGCAACGUGCAUGAAACCCCUGGCAACGCACAGGAGACCCCUAGCAACGCGCAUGAAACCCCUGGCAACGCACAGGAGACCCCUAGCAACGUGCAUGAAACCCCUGGCAACGCACAGGAGACCCCUAGCAACGCGCAUGAAACCCCUGGCAACGCACAGGAGACCCCUAGCAAUGCACACAAAGUCUACGCCUAAAGGAUGUUUUUCCUUCCUGCUCACAGUACCGCCCUGAGCCUGAUCUGUAUUACACCGAUUGGAGGAGUCCUAAAUAACAGACAUGUCCGAUUUAUCCGUACUCCCACCGCUCAUACCACAUGCAGAAAGCGUAACAUAGCCAGCAAAGCUGUAUGAACCUUCCAAACAUGAGUGCACAGAACAGUCUUACAGCACAACCAGAUCACAGAGCACAGGAGGCCUGUAACUGGGCCAAACCACCACACAGCGCUGCCUGGACAACUCAGUCUUCUACCGUCAUUCAGGGUAAAGUUCUCAUUGGUUUGAGAUUAUUAGCGCCUUCACUUCCAGAGGACACAACGAUCACAAACUCCAAAUGAUCGGAUCCAUUUGUAAAUUUCGUUCUUACUAUAUAAAAGGGAUUCUGCACAAUUCUCCACGUCUUAUC